GAGAGCGACAAGGACUGCGGGCAGGACCGGCGGGCUCCUGGGGUUCAGCCGUGCCGCCUCGUUACGAUGACCAGUGUGGUUAAGACAGUGUAUAGCCUGCAGCCCCCCUCUGCGCUGAGCGGCGGCCAGCCGGCAGACACACAAACUCGGGCCACUUCUAAGAGUCUCUUACCUGUUAGGUCCAAAGAAGUCGAUGUUUCCAAACAGCUUCAUUCAGGAGGUCCAGAGAAUGAUGUUACAAAAAUCACCAAACUGAGACGAGAGAAUGGGUGAGAACGGAUCAUUAGUAUCCAGUUAGAACAUCUUCCUAGAAAUUGCUCAAUACAAAGAAUUAGAAAACAGAGUUUUGGACAACACAAGUCUCCUGAACAACUGGCCUUCAAUCAGUGGCCCAGAGCAGUGCAGCAUUGCUGAGCUCUGUGCCAGAACCCUCUGUGUUGAUCUUUCUGAAGAGACACAGCCAGAGUUAUAAGAGGUGUUCUUUCCUCUUUCAUCGCUUGCUCUGAGCAUACAAGUGGCAGCACUGUAGUCAUACAGCAACCCUGAGGGGUAGUCAUGCAGGGUGGGGACUAGUUGUUAUCCUAGGUUGCUGCUCUGACCACACAGUCCAGCCCUAGUGUGUG
rnacentral:sRNA from 1 species